ACGCACCACUGGUGUUCGGGUUGUCAUGCCAAUGGCACUGCCCGGUAGCUAAGUGCGGAAAAGAUAAGUGCUGAAAGCAUCUAAGCACGAAACUUGCCCCGAGAUGAGUUCUCCCUGACUCCUUGAGGGUCCUGAAGGGACGUUGAAGACUACGACGUUGAUAGGCCGGGUGUGUAAGCGCAGCGAUGCGUUGAGCUAACCGGUACUAAUGACCCGUGAGGCUUAACCUUACAACGCCAGAGGCGUU
rnacentral:rRNA from 1 species